UACGUAGGGCGCAAGCGUUGUCCGGAAUUAUUGGGCGUAAAGAGCUCGUAGGCGGCCUGCUAAGUCGAACGUGAAAUCCCUGGGCUCAACCCAGGAACUGCGUCCGAUACUGGUUGGCUUGAAUCCGGGAGAGGGACGUGGAAUUCCAGGUGUAGCGGUGAAAUGCGUAGAUAUCUGGAAGAACACCCGUGGCGAAGGCGGUUCUCUGGGACGGUACUGACGCUGAGACGCGAAAGCGUGGGGAGCGAACAGG
rnacentral:rRNA from 1 species